ensembl:lncRNA
CCUGAUUUUAAGUGUGGGGAUAGACCAUUUAUUUACAGUAAAUAAAGUUAUUUGUUAAUUUUAUGUAAGAUUAAGCAUAUUUAAGAUGUCUCAAAAGCUAAAUAUAUGCCUCUUCGUAAUCUGAUUUGGCCCUAUUCUUUGUGCUACAAGCAUUUGCCCAUAAAAUGUGACUGUGAGUGUUUCGUAGGGACAAACUGCCAAAAUACUUCAUGCAGGAAACCAUAAUGUACCGCCCACAGCAAUUAAUACCAGUGUUGAAUUUAUUUUAAAAAGAGAGAUCUGAAUUUAUGACUAUAUAUUUCCACAUCAUUGGGGAAUGCAGAGUACUGGGAAACAACAAAACACACACAAUUAGGAAAAAUAGCUAUAAUUAUGCUCAUUUAAAUGUUUUACAAUUAUGUAUUUUGGAAUACUAAAAACUCUUAAUAGUUACACUUAUUGUGCACUUACAUACAAAAACAUAACUAUACCAUAACAAACACCAAGUCUAAAGUGACUACAACCAAGUUAUGUCAAGUCCUUGUCGUGUCUCUUGUCUCCAUGGACAAGGUGGAGGAGUUUAUGGAAACAUACGUCAGAGAUAAUACGAGGGUUCCUAUAUAGCCUAUAUAGAUUUCAUCAUGAAAAAUGAUCCUGUUUUUCAUUCUCUCGUCUGUGCGUCACAACUGGAGCUCAUUUAUCAGUGAAACAUGACCAUUACACUAUGGAAUCGGCCAUGUUGUGUUUAAUACUUGCUGAUUUGUGUUUUUAUGUCACCUAAAGAUGCGCAGAGCAGUUACAGGAUGUUUGAUGCUGGUGUAUGUUGUUGCUCUUCUGGCCGAGCAGGCAGAGGGACACAUCGCCUUCUUCAGCCCUAAAGAGAUGAGAGAGCUCAGGGAGAAGGAGGGAAGGAAGGAUGCUGAUCCAAGAGCGGAGGGGGUUUUGAUUGACGAGAUGUCUCUAGAUGAAGAAGAGUCAGUGGGCCAGCCUGUGGAAAUAGGGCAGAAACUGGCUGCUAAAAAGGGCCACAUUGGAUCUGCUUUCGAUAAGAUGCUGCAGAGCAUCGUAGAAGAGCCAGAGACCGGUAAGGAGCAUAUAGUAAAAUCUCUUUCUGUUUUUCAUAUAUACACAGACCACGCUAAUAUUUGUGCUCUGUUUUGA